rnacentral:rRNA from 1 species
UACGGGGGGAGCAAGCGUUGUUCGGAUUUACUGGGCGUAAAGGGCGCGUAGGCGGUCAGCACAAGUCAGUUGUGAAAUCUCCGGGCUUAACUCGGAAAGGUCAACUGAUACUGUGCGACUAGAGUGCGGAAGGGGCAACUGGAAUUCUCGGUGUAGCGGUGAAAUGCGUAGAUAUCGAGAGGAACACCUGCGGCGAAGGCGGGUUGCUGGGCCGACACUGACGCUGGUGCGCGAAAGCCAGGGGAGCGAACGGG